rnacentral:rRNA from 1 species
UACGAAGGGGGCUAGCGUUGCUCGGAAUUACUGGGCGUAAAGCGCACGUAGGCGGCUUAUUAAGUCGGGGGUGAAAUCCUGGAGCUCAACUCCAGAACUGCCUUCGAUACUGAUGAGCUUGAGUUCGGGAGAGGUGAGUGGAACUGCGAGUGUAGAGGUGAAAUUCGUAGAUAUUCGCAAGAACACCAGUGGCGAAGGCGGCUCACUGGCCCGGUACUGACGCUGAGGUGCGAAAGCGUGGGGAGCAAACAGG